GAUAAACGCUGGCGGCGUGCAUGAGACAUGCAAGUCGAACGAAGGAUCGGGCUUGCUCGAUCCUUAGUGGCGGACGGCUGAGUAACGCGUAGGUGACCUACCCCGAAGUGGGGAAUAACUGCCCGAAAGGGUGGCUAAUACCGCAUGUGGUCGCACGGUCAUUCGUGCGAGUAAAGCCGCAAGGCGCUUCGGGAGGGGCCUGCGUCCGAUUAGCUCGUUGGUGGGGUAAUGGCUUACCAAGGCGACGAUCGGUAGGUGGUCUGAGAGGACGAUCACCCAGACUGGGACUGAGACACGGCCCAGACUCCUACGGGAGGCAGCAGUCGGGAAUUUUGCUCAAUGGGGGAAACCCUGAAGCAGCAACGCCGCGUGAGGGAUGAAGGCCUUCGGGUUGUAAACCUCUUUUGUCAGGGACGAUGAUGACGGUACCUGGCGAAUAAGCCACGGCUAACUACGUG
rnacentral:rRNA from 1 species